rnacentral:lncRNA from 1 species
AAAAAUUAAUUAAUUAAAACACAACAAUGUCAAAAACCUACGUAUGAAACUCAAAAUAAUUUCAUUCCUUAGGCAAACUCAAUUCCUCUAUUGAUGUAAGUGAACCCAAAAAAUAUCUUCCCAUGUCCACUUUUUUUGAACACAGGACAAAUAGAAACUGCUGAUACACUGUUCAGCCAGGGAACGGACAGAAUAGUACCUAUAGGAUAACUAUAGCCUGUAAUUACAAGUAGAUCAGUUUCCUCAAAUAGUAUCUAUGUAUCAUUUUACCAUCACGUUUAUGAGCUACUAAACAUAAGGCUUGUUGUAUUCCAGACUGCAAUAGGCCAUAAAUUAUGCAACGAAAUGGGUGAAUAAUAUUUAAGGUCUUGUAUGUAUAGACCACGCAACUAAGAUAAAUAAAAUUACGUAUAUAGCUAAGUACACACAAACAUAAUCAUAGCUAAGUACACACAAACAUAAUCAGGUGAGGAUUAAAAGAAAUUCACAUGCGCUCCAGCGUUCCCCUGUUUACAAAGAAUCCAUCAUGUUUUAUGGCUGAAUUAUCAACUUCAAAAU